rnacentral:lncRNA from 1 species
GCCAUGGGCUUGGGAGCUGUUGCAGGACUCUUCUGUGUGGAUUUGAGGAAGUCAUCAUACUUGAGCACUUGGCAAGGGAUCCCCAACUGUUCCAGCUUCACGUGCUUGCUCAACUCACUCAGUGCCAUCUGCACAGCAAUGCUCACAAGCCUGGGCCAGAAGCCAUUGCUAGGCUGGACCACUGGAUUCCUCUCUGUCAUGGCCACAGAGUCCGACAUCUACCUGUGUACUGAAGCCAAAGCACCACGUUCUUUACCUGAUACUAACAGAAAGUCUGAAGCUGCAGUUUGGCCUCUCCUUCCUAAGGAUGUUUGGACAGCUUCAGUUACCUCUGAGUACAAGCAUGAUGCAGUCUGGAAACACUAGCAGGACUUCAUUCUUUCAUGGAUCCAACAUGCACAACCUGCCUCUCCUGGGGAGGCAUGUGCCAAGAGAUGGUCUGCUUCUUGGCUUCAAAGCAUAAGGAACUUCACCAUUCUUAAAACUGGUACUGAGAUGAGGGCUGCUGGAGGCCUUUUGGUUGAUACUUUAUGAAGAGCAUCCUCCAGGAGGAUGCUAUUAAAGUCUUUAUAACAGCAACUAAUGGUAAGGAAAGAGAUUGAGUCA